rnacentral:tRNA from 1 species
GGCGGGUUCUUCUAAUGGCUAGGAAAUGAGGCUUUCAACCUCAUAAUAGAGGGUUCAAUUCCCCUAUCCGUCA